rnacentral:sRNA from 1 species
UCGGGCCACCUUCUCCCCGGUGGGGAGAAGGGGAUGGAGAGGUUGCGGCAUGUUCCCUUCUCCCCACCGGGGAGAAGGUGCCGGCA